UACGUAGGGUGCAAGCGUUGUCCGGAAUUAUUGGGCGUAAAGGGCUCGUAGGCGGUCCAUCGCGUCGGGAGUGAAAAGCUGGGGCUCAACCCCAGUCCUGCUUUCGAUACGGGUGGACUAGAGGUAGGCAGGGGAGAACGGAAUUCCUGGUGUAGCGGUGAAAUGCGCAGAUAUCAGGAGGAACACCGGUGGCGAAGGCGGGUCUCUGGGCCGGAACUGACGCUAAGGAGCGAAAGCGUGGGGAGCGAACAGG
rnacentral:rRNA from 1 species